UUGUAGGUCUGAAUCUGAUGGAAAACAGACUAACAAAAAUGUAAAAAAAUAUGUGCAACAUUUAGGCUACAACAGCUACUUAUUUGAUCAAUAUCCAACAACAACAAAAAGGAGUGUCUUGAAAAUUCAAGCUGUCAAAUUUUAAAUGAAAGCCAAUUAGAUCCAGUUGUCCGGUUGCAAACUAGAGAAGUCCAAUUCAACAUCUUUGAAGUGGCUCCUACCUAGGCCUAGGCUGCCAGUUUACCGUAGUAGAGUGACAAGUUGUCAGGUACUCACCAAGUAGCCUGUCCUCUGAAUGAGCAGCGGUAGACUUGUGAGGGCAGACACCAAUUUAUACUCUACAAGUGCCACUACGCCCGGCGACCCCUUUCUCCUUAUUUGGUAGCCAGCCCCGGCGCCAUUGAGAGCGGAGUGGCCAUGAACGGAAGAGCGGGAAGAACAGAGCAGAGGCUCGCUGACUCCUGAAGCCCCAUGUAUGGAAGGGAACCCGCGCGGACAGACACAGCUGUGUGACGAGGUGUGGAGGUAUUCCCUCUAUUUCUAACGCGUCAAAGAACCCUGUACAUACUGUACGUGAAGGCUGUUGGGGCCCUGUUUCAGCUCCAGAUGACAAAAACUGCACACACUCCCAGAGGGUUGCAGGUCUGCCGAGUUCCUUUUGGUCACACAUUUUAAUCAGAGAAAUAUCCAAUGAAACAAAGACUUGGCUUUAAAUGUGAAUGUACUUUAUUGCACACAAUCUUCAAAUAAAAUGGAGCAUACAUAAAAUAAACAAGUUUAUUAUCAUUUAUUUACAUUGGGCCUAGUGUGUGUGUGUGUGUGUGUGUGUGUGUGUGUGUGUGUGUGUGUGUGUGUGUGUGUGUGUGUGUGUGUGUGUGUGUGUGUGUGUGUGUGUGUGUGUGUGUGUGUGUGUGUGUGUGUGUGUGUGUGUGUGUGUGUGUGUGUGUGUGAGAGAAAGAGAGAGUGAGAGGGGGGCAUGUUUUUAAACUCAGGAAAAAAUGCACAUAUAAUUUCCUCAAACUGUACACGUUAACCAAUACCGUAUUACAAUAUUAUCAAUCACACUAUGAUUUG
rnacentral:lncRNA from 8 species